rfam:Vitis vinifera, whole genome shotgun sequence of line PN40024, unoriented chromosome 7, chr7
GUUGCUUCUUUCAAACCUGAGUGACUAUUUUACUAGUUGGUCAUUCAUAUUGAGAAGCAUAGAGGAAAAGAAAUGCCAGUUUUAAACAGCAUGAUGUCCAUCCUAUAGCAUUGUGUUACCUGUCUAUUGGUAAAUGC